rnacentral:rRNA from 1 species
UACGUAGGGUGCGAGCGUUUGUCCGGAAUUAUUGGGCGUAAAGGGCUCGUAGGCGGUCUGUUGCGUCGGGAGUGAAAACUCAGGGCUUAACCCUGAGCCUGCUUCCGAUACGGGCAGACUAGAGGUAUGCAGGGGAGAACGGAAUUCCUGGUGUAGCGGUGAAAUGCGCAGAUAUCAGGAGGAACACCGGUGGCGAAGGCGGUUCUCUGGGCCGAUACUGACGCUGAGGAGCGAAAGCGUGGGGAGCGAACAGG